CCAUGAAAGCUUAUGCUCCAAUACGUCUGUUAGUCUGUAGGGUGCCACAGGACUCUUUGCCGCUUUUACAGAUCCAGACUAACACAGCUACCCCUCUGAUACUUGACACGUUUAGAAGGCUCAAAAAUUGAUCUAACUUCUCUUCUGAAACCGCACCACAAAAGCAAAUUAUGCUUCCUUUAAACCCUGCCCGCCACCCCCUCAAAUAUUAGCAAUCAAGCAUGUGUAUUGUACUAUAAUAACAAAUAACUGCCCCUGCUUGGUGUGGGGGGAGGGGGGGACUGUUUCCAAGAAGGGGGACCGAGGGAAUUGCAAUUUCCAAAGGUGUCAUUCUAAAUAAUAAUUCAUAAUUAAGGAUAAAAUAUUCUAUUUUGGGAAAUGUCCGUUAAGAUGAUUUAUCAGUCAUUCUUCCAAUAGUCUGUCCCAUAAUCACAUGCCUGGUAAAAAAACGUUAGUCCGCAGUAUUGAUUUUUGUUUCUGUUGUCCUUGCUAAACCUGUCAUACAUUCAUGUCCACUAUCUAUUUCCACCACUUCUGCUCUGGAGUUCUUGGAAAAGUAGGUUAAGGGUAUGUCUACACGGCCCACGUUACAGCACGGCCGUGGCAGUGCUGUGAUGUGGGCAGUGUAGGCAUGCUUUAUCGUCGGGGGAGAGCUCUCCUGGCGACUUAAAAAAAUAAAAUAACCACCCCGAACGAGCGGUGGUAGCUUUAUCGCUGGGAGCAUGGCUCCCAGUGAUAAAGCGCUAUCUAUACUGGUGCUUUUCAGCACUAAAACUUUUGUCGCUCAGGGGGAAGAGGGUGUUUUUUAACACCCCUGAACAACUAAAGUUUUAGCUCUGAAAGUGGAAGUGUAGACACAGCCUUACUGUAGGAGACAUUCUCUGGCAGGCUGCCUUCAGCACAACCACCUUACAACUAAGACACCGGGGCUGUAGGCUUUCACAACGUCUACAAAAUAUUCUAGAAAAAGCAAAGCCCUUCAGUGAGUUGACAUGGGUAUUUCAUUGGUUUAAUGCUGCUGAAAACCCCCAGAGAAAGUUAUACUGGAAAAGGAAAAAAAACAAGUAUUUACUGCACCUGUCAAAUAUUUCUGCUGAAUGUGUCCAAUACGAGCAUCUUGAAAUGGGAAUAGCAAGAAUUCUACAUCCACCUACCCUGCCCCAAAGCCUCAGGAAAAGCCUCAAUGACAAGAUAGCUUUCAGGGCAUGUGGCAAGGCUUAUUCAAGAGCUUUCCCUUUCCCUUAGGCUGAGAGAGAAUUUCAGAGUAUUUAACUGAUUACACUCAGCCCUCAGAUAGACAAACAUAGGGUCUUUUUGCUUGUGAGUCCUAGCUGACCUUAGCUGUUGGGGUGGAACAUGGAGAUAUGGUGGCCUUUAAUGCACUGACGUGAUGUUUAAGUUAAAACCAGCACCUUAAAUGUUAUGCUAAACCUAACUGGAAGCCAGUUGCAGUUUCUGGAGCAUAGUGUAUUUGCUCCAUGUGUAGGACAAAGCAUAAUAAGCAGAUUGCUGCAUUCUGCACUCGCUGAAGUUCCUGGGUACUUUUUUAAGAGUAACACCAUACAGAGCACAAUUGAGCAAUCUAAUCUGGAGGGGACAAAGGCAUGUGUAACUGGCAAAGAUGCAGUCUCCUUUCCAAGUGAAGAUGGGGAGAAAAGCACUUUGCUACUGCUGCUGUGUGUGCAUCUAGAAGCAACUGAGGAUCUAGUAGGGUCCCUCGAUUGCAAUCGUUAGUAACAAAGGUACAUGCACCCACCCACUUAAGUAAGAGCAAAUAUCACCUGUGCCACCGCCUUUGGCUGGUUGUUUCCUCCAGCCACUCAGCAUCGCUGUGUUCUGAUUGCGUUUCAGUCACGUACAGGGAAUGCCAACUGGGUUUGCUCUAUGGGGCUGAUGGAAUGCAUCCCAUUGUGUCUCACUGUCACAUAUAGUGAGGGCAAAACCAGAAACUCACCAUAUCCCGCAUGAGAGCAUUCGCAAGUCCCUUAAGCCAUUGCCCAACAAUACCGUCCAUGUCCAGCUAGAGAAAAAAUAGGAUCCACUCUAACCCAUUCCCAUCCAGGAGCUACAAGGGUCACAAUUUAAUUGUCAAUGGUAUCAAAGGACCUGAUCCUCAGAGGUGAUGAGUACAUGCAUCUCCUAUAGACACCCCUGAUUGAGGCACAAAGAUUGCAGAUAAAGCUAAAAGAAUUCAGUACAGACAAUGAGGCACUUUUUUGAAAAUUUUAGCCUUUAGUCCAAUGCCAGGAAAAGAUUCGUCUAGUGGGCCUAGUGUGUUAGGUUAUUACUGAACCAAGAGUUUUAGCAA